rnacentral:lncRNA from 1 species
ACGAGGCGCGGGGCGCGGAGUGGCAAGAGCGCAGCAUGGGCUGCGCAGAACUGAGGCAGACACCCAGAGGCUGCCAAAUUGUCAUCUGAGCCGGACCGGGUUUCGGCGGCCGCGCUUUAUAGUCGCUGGAGCCUGGUGACCUAUUCCAGGGCUACAAGACUGCCUCGGCAAACAGCCCAAGGAUGUUCGGUUAUCUCGCCUUGAGGGUUCGCGCGUCACGUGCCCCCCCCGUCCCCCGCUUGUUUUUCAGUUUAAAAGUGGGGCCCGUGUCUGCAGGACUCUAGGAGCUGCGGGCCCACCCAUUCACUGAUGUUACCCUCUCCUGUCAUUUCUCCUUUGUGAAGGGCACUGAAAAUCUUGAGUUUUCUUGGGAAAGAGAAGACAUCAAACAGGCAUAUGAGGUAGAGGAUAAUAAAGAAUAUUACCUCCUUUUCAAGUACCUUGAUUUUUUUGAAGUUUUCUCGAAGUUGGUUUACCAGUUUCACAAUAACACAGAGCAACUAGAAGAUCAAAAUUCCUUGUAUGAGGGAAGAGUAUCUGUGGACCAGGCUGAAAUUUCUGAGGGGACUCUAUCACUUUUACUAAGAAAUGUGGAUUUCAUGGAUGAAGCUAUCUACAAGUGCUCAGCCAUCACACCAGAUGGAAGAGGUGAAAGUACAAUUAAGCUAAUAGUAGAAGACUCUGAAAUGCCCCAGGUGCAAUUUGACAGGAUUGAUGAUGAGGAUGUGGCCACAUGCAUCUCAAAGGACUAGUACCUCACGCCCAUUGUGACAUGGCUGGACCGGACAGAGAGGGACCUGAGCAACCACAGCAUCGUGGAAAUCCUGGAGGAGCAGAUGAAUGGCUUCUACAGGGUGUUCUCCAUCCUGAAAUACCCUGUCAAGUUAAAUGAGAAAUAUCUCUGCCACAUAACAGAGACAGAUGUGAACAACCAGCUCUUCAGAAUCAUCCACAAGUAUCCAAGCUCCCUCAUGCUGCUGCCCUGGGAAAGGAUCAGCUUCCCCAUGUUACUUUCAAGAUGGCUCCCCAGAUGGUGCAAGGGAUUCUGGAAGAAACAUCUAUCCAAAUUUCUAGAUAGAAGGGGAAGAUGUAGCUAACAACUCUCCUCUCCUGCUUGCCAUGUGUCACAGGUGUUCCACUCUAAUGUUGUAUAAUGAAGGUGUGCAUGAAACAACUAUUAGGCCUUUGCUUAGUACGUACUUAUCAUUCUUGUCCUAAUUCCUAGGAACAGGUCUCUGAUGUCCUUUAUUCACUAUACAAUUUUCCCUGACGAAACUUCCCUGUUUACCUUGUGAAGUCUUGAUUAAUUAAUGGAAAAUAA